rnacentral:rRNA from 1 species
UUCGGCACACAGCUCAGUAGCACGUGGCUAACCUGCCCUUGGGACGGGAACACCCCGGGAAACUGGGGCUAAUUCCCGAUAGGUGAAGAUUCCUGGAAUGGGUUUUUGCCGAAAAGACGUUUGGGGCAUGCUUCUAGGCGUUGCCCAAGGAUGGGGCCGCGGCCGAUCAGGUUGUUGGUGAGGUAAUGGCUCACCAAGCCUUUAACCGGUUCGGGCCGUGGGAGCGGUAGCCCGGAGAUGGGCACUGAGACAAGGGCCCAGGCCCUACGGGGCGCAGCAGUCGCGAAAACUUCGCAAUAAGCGAAAGCUUGACGGGGCCAUCCCGAGUGCCAUCUGCUGAGGAUGGCUUUUACCCAGUAUAGAUAGCUGGGGGAAUAAGGAGAGGGCAAGUCUGGUGUCAGCCGCCGCGGUAAUACCAGCUCUCCGAGUUGUGGGGACGUUUAUUGAGCCUAAAGCAUCCGUAGCCGGCUGGGCAAGUCCUCUGUUAAAUCCAGCGACAAAUCGUUGGCCUGCGGGGGAUACUGCUCGGCUAGGGGGCGGGAGAGGCCGUCGGUAUUCUUGGGGUAGGGGUGAAAUCCUAUAAUCCCAGGAGGACCACCAGUGGCGAAGGCUGUCGGCUAGAACGCGCCCGACGGUGAGGGAUGAAAGCUGGGGGAGCGAACCGGAUUAGAUACCCGGGUAGUCCCAGCUGUAAACGAUGCAGGCUAGGUGUUAGGGCGGCUACGUGCCGCUCUAGUGCCGCAGGGAAGCUGUUAAGCCUGCCGCUUGGGGAGUACGGCCGGCAGGCUGAAC